CACCAAAGGCACCAGAUGAAUUUGGUUUGACCUCCCUCCCCCUUCUAUGAGUGAACACUUUCAUUCUCAAAUUUACUUUCCCCAGUUGAGAGGGUGACAAGGAGGACUGUGUCUCGUGGAGAACAACUAUUGGGGGUAGUGGAUGAGGGCCACUCACCCGCUGUGCCGCUCAGGCGUGUCACUCUGGCAGGACAUGGAAUUCAAUUAGACUCUUUGUAAUAGAGUUACAUGUGACAUCCAGGUGACUCAUCUCCAAGAAUUACCACUGGGAAGAAAGGCAAUCAUGCCAACAAACGCUCACUGAGAAGGUACAGAGAUGCAGAAGGGUGACCUUGGUCACCUCAGUGGAGCCCACACCCUGAGCAAUCUGAAGAAGAAUGUUUCUCCCAUCUUAGGUAGAAGAAAGUGGAAGGAGCCACAGAGAGGCAGCAGAAGGAAUUGUGUCCUGAACCACAAGUUCUUUGGAUGUUUGUGUGCUGGUGAGAACCCCAGCUCAUUUUUGGAAGACAAACGUAGGAAGAGAAAUAACAUGUAGAUUGGAAAGCAGCCCAGCUUCAGAGCAGGGGGACGUCUGUGUCAUCUUUGCCAUUACUAGCUUGCCACAAGUUACUUCACUUCUGGGGACCUCCAUUUCUGUCCUUUUAAUCGAAUGGACUCCAUUAGAUAACACCAAAUUUCCAGAUCUUCAUUCCCUGGGGUGCUAAGAGAUGCAAGAACCCCCCCCCCCCACCAAUACUUGCAAAUCAGCCUAAAGGAGAGAUGAACUAAACGGCCAAGCGUUUUAUCUAGGUUUUGACUCUGGAUAGAAAACUUAAGAACUGGGAAGUAA
rnacentral:lncRNA from 1 species